rnacentral:lncRNA from 1 species
AUGAGGUGCAGUUCACCUGGGAAAAACACGCACUGGCCUCGAUGCUGCUUAAAAACCCACUCCAUGUGCCCCGGGGGGACCGACCCAAACCCCGGGGUCUCCUAUCGCCACCAAGCAGUGCCUCCAGCUUGGAGGGCCUUCAACAUCACACUGCAGCUCUCAAGGAGGGGGGGCUCAAUAAUUUCACACCGCUUUGUGCCCCGCACACCAACACGCAGGCAGAGGGGUUGCUUUUCAUCCAGGGAGCUCUGCCGGUGCCGGGGGGAAAAUGGGGAGGCAGGACUGGGACACCCCCCAAUGGGGAUGCCAGGCACCUGUAGCGAUGCCCACCCUGCUCCUGCCUCUGGUCCCGCACCUCAGAGCCGCUCCGACCCCCCUGCCAACCCCUUGCUUUAAAGUGUUUUGAUUCAAGUUGAGAAGUCAAAUAUAUGAGCAACACUCGGGGACUUUGCGUCCGAGGUGGCUACUGCGCGGGGCUCGGCGGUGGCCGAGUCAGUAGCUCUGAGCAAUGGCAUCAUUGGACCGAAGGCACCGUGACCUGCGGUGGUUAAUUCUCGUCAACAAAUUUCUAUUAAUUGCAACGGCCCCGGGAAUGCCAUCGCAGCCCCGGAGCAAGUCCUUUCCCCCCUGCUCCCCGCCAACACCGAGCGGCCGCGGCACCUCGAACCGCCCCCAAAAAAACAAACCCAAAACCGACGGGGAAAGAAAAAAUUGAGUUUUGCUGAUGAUCCACCCCCCCCAAAACCGAGAGAAACCCUCACAGCAGGCCCGCUCGGAAUUAAAUAAGCGAGGCUGGGCGGGUGGAGAGGCAGAAAUCACGGCGGAUUUACAUACAGAGCGACACAUUUCCAUAGGGGAAGGCUGAGGGGGGGGACGGGACACGGGACCCUCCCUCCGCACACACACACACACACCCCUCCGCACCACCCGUCCCAGACAGGGACCGCAAAGGCUUUUUUGCCUUAUUCCCCCCCAUCUUCCCCGCCGCCCAGCAAAGGCCUUGGAGAGGCAAGAGGCGAAAAGUGCCGAAAUAAUACCCCCCCCACACACCCAGAAAAGCCAACGCAGUUUUGCAUCCCCCCGGCCCCGUCCCACAGAAGAUGCAGAGACUUACAGGUUAUUUUGCAACAAUAACAACAACAGCUACAAAGAAUUAACCCACCACUCCAAGAGUCCUGGGAAGGAAAAGAGAAAACGGACCAGGAAAAUAAAGAAAUAAAAAAAAUAAUAAAAAAAUAAUAA